CCAAUAUGUACUGAUUGUCCCCAACCUUCAAUCCCUAAUUCCACCCCUCACUUCCUCUCUCUUCAUUCUUCUUCUUCUCCUUUCUCCGCUCUUCAAUUGUUUCGUUUUCUUCUCCGAUUUUUCCUUUCGAUAAGAGUAUCUAUUCUUUUUUCCUUUUCCCUUUUCCGAUUCCCUGAACAACCAUCCUACGCUAGGGUUGCAACUAUUUGUUAUCCAUCGCUGCUGUUUGUGGCUUGCCUUUUCAAUUAUUCACUCAAACAAUGUUAUAUUUGUCUGCGACAAUGAAAUUAGCUUAACUAUUUGUGGAGGCAGAAAAUGAAAGGGGUGGAAGUUCUGAACAGAGACGGUCAUGGUGGACUAUCAAGCUGAAUAGUGGACUAUCGAGCUGAAUAAGAGUGAGAGAGAAACUUGCUUUUAUUAUGCCUUAGCUUCCUUUCUUCUUUGAUUAAAAAGAGUUUAAUACACUCUUAAAUCUCACAUUCCCCUCCUUAGUUACAACAAAAUUUGCCCAUCAUCACUCUCUUAUCCCUUUCAUCAUUCAACAACAUCUUUCUCAAUUAAAAUUCCUUGUUUUUUUUUCUUUCUCGGUACCGCACAUUUAUACUCACAUGUUCUGUUCUUUUCCAUCUGGGUCUGUUGCUGUCUCAUUCUGUUCCUAGGACUCAGAUGCCGAUCUUUGACACAAAUGGGGUUGUGAGUUUUAUGGGAAAGUUUCUACCUUGAUUGUUGUUUUCUCUAUGGGGUUAAGGUAACCAUGAUGGGUAUGAUGAAAGUUAGCAUCUUUGUGUUUUUAACCCUGAUGAUCACAAUGGGUUGUUAUGGUGUCACAAACCCGAAUGAUCUCAGAAUUCUGAAUGAUUUCAGAAAAGGGUUGAAGAAUCCAGAGCUUCUCAAAUGGCCAGACAAUGGAAAUGACCCUUGUGGCCCUCCUUCAUGGUCUUAUGUGUACUGUUCUGGAGGGAGAGUCACUCAGAUUCAGACCAAGAAUCUAGGUCUUGAAGGAUCAUUGCCUCCAAAAUAAAGAAAGAGAUGCCUUGAUUUUUUACCUAAUCGUUCAGCAAUAACUACUGACCUUAUAUACAGCCUCAAGCAAAAGGUUGAUCUAAUUCUCUUAUCCCAAUCUGGCGUAAUUGUUGUAGCUGAUCAGCUAUUUCCUGCAAUAAUUUAAGUCCUUCUUCUCCAUUGCUCGAUAAGUUGAUACUAUGCUUAAGGAAACUCAAAUCUGCCUCAAGAACUUGCAACCUUCCAAUAAAAUCUGAAACCAAACUACCAGUAGAAGAUAAAUCAUUAUUCCUACAGAGCGCAGGGGAGCUAUGUCCAUUGUAUCCAAGUUCACCAUUUUGCUUGCAAACUGGAGGUUCCUUGGAUGAGGAAUCAUCACCCAUGUCAUCUGAAUUUAAUUUAGGAGAACAAACAGUUUCUUGCAUUAGAAUAUUAUUAUCCAACUUCUCACAAUUUUCCAGAGAUUCCUUUUCAUCGUUUUCAGAAUUUAGCCAAUUAUCCCGAGAUUGAUGAAUAUUCAGGAAAAAGUAAACUUGCUUCUCCAACUUCUUCAAACGUUGGGAAAUAUAUAACCUUUCAUCUUGAAACUCCAAUGGUGAAUUUUUUACAGAUUGAACAUUCUGUUUUUCCAGAGAUGUGGGUAGAACUUCAGAUUUGUCAGAUAUAUUAGUAUUUUCAGAAACUGACUUUCCAAGGAUACUUUCAUCCUUUUCAAUGCAAAUGAUCCAAUCCAAUAUCUUUCACCUUCAUUUCAGAGUUUGUAUCCACCAUGCUUUCCAGCACUGAUUCAUCAGGGAACUUCUUCCUAUAUAACUCAAGCUUAGCUUCCAACUCUUCUAUCUCUUUCUCCUUCUCAACAAGAAGGCAAUUAGCUUUUUGCAAAGCUUCUGUUUCAUACUCAGACUCCUCAUCCAUCAUUCUUAAGUAUUGCAAGGCUUCCAUAUGUAAUGUUGCCUUUUCUUCCUGCAGCCCUGUGAUCAUGGCUAAUGCUUGAUUUGCAGCAACUGCAGAAGCAUUUCUUUCUUCCUCCAGCUCUUUAUACAAAGCAUUAAGUUUCCUGUCAUGGUCAACUUGUCUUUUUAGCCUGUCGACUGCGCUUUCACCUUCAAUUUCACUAACAAGGCUUCCAUCUAGAGACAAACCAUAUUCAUUUCGCUCAAGUGAAAUCAUUUUUUGAAGUAUCUGGAUUCCAGCAGAGUUAGAAACAUCAGAAGUCUUCACUUCAUCACUGUUUAUAGACAAUCUAGGACUGAUAUCAUUAACAGACAGAUCAGUCCCUCGAGUAGCUGAAAAUUGUGACAGCAAUAUCUUCAAAUCUUCACUAAUUCUUGUAGAAUCCUUUCCAAGCCAAUGUUCUACAAGCAUGCCAGGUCUUCCUCUGCUGUUACUGACAGCUAGCUUAUAGGCAUCACCAAGAUCUAGUAAAUUGGGAUUUUGCUGACCAAUAUCACUAGAAAAGGGGGUUGACUCUAAACCUGCUUCAGAUGUUGUCAGCUUAUCAACUAACUCAAUUAUUUCCCCACAGUCUGUGGUUAUUCUUUGUUUAGAUUUUGUCCCUACUUCAUCAGUUGUCAAAUCAUCUACAAAAAAAAAUGGACCAAAGGCUUAUUGUCAGUACAAAUACUCAUGGUACUUAUGGACUUAAAAUAACUAUGCUUUGUGAAUCGGGAUCAAUAACUAUUCUUUAUAGGAGUGCUUCUGUUUUGACUUUCCUUCAAUGAGCUUGGGCUUUUUCUAGCUGUUCAAUGGCCCCUUCCACUUCAAUACUUCCAAAUUUCAAAUAGUUCUCAAGAUUCUUUGUUUUCGAUUAUUCUAAGUGGAUGAAUUUGUGCUGAACUGUAGAAUUGUUUGGUGGAAUUGGAAAAGUUUGGUUUUUGUUUUUUGCCUCUUGAUUACUAUAAUUUGCAGUACAACCUCGAAUUUAGCUUAUGUUUGUGUCUUAGUGUAUUAAUUGUUUGUUAAUGGCCCAGCACUCAAGUGAGAGAAAUUCUUAGUUAGAGAGAGACAAAUAAACAGUUGAUAAAUGUAAAGACAUUCCUUGAAGAUUAAUAUGCAUUGCUAAAAUGGCCUAUACAACCUCACUCAUCUCAACGUGAUAGAUAUGUUCUAGAAGAUUGUGGACAUACAAGGUAGUUGUGUAUACAAGAGCUAGUCUAUUUGGAGAAGCGAACAACUCUCAAAUGAAGUGUGUUAAUUCUAUCUUGAACAACUUUUAUAGGAUUUCUGGGAGAGAAAAAAAUUGUACAUAGAAAACUUCUAUUUGUUUCUCAAACAAUAUGGAUCACAACACUCGACAUUCUCUUUGUAACAUGUCUAAGUUCAAAGUGGUUCCAAGCUUAGGGAAGUACUUGGGAAUUCCUCUAACAGGGAAAACCCAAGUGGCUUAGAGUUUAUCUAGUUGGAAAGCUCAAUAUUUGUUUAUGGCUGGAAGAAUUACACUCGCCAAAUCAGUGAUCCAGACGCUGCCUAUUUACUCCAUGAUGUCUACCCAAGUUUCUAGUAACAUUCUUAAAGAUAUUCAAAAGAUGCAAAGGUCUUUUAUUUGAGGGGAUAAUGACGGGGGAAGGAAACAUCACGUUGUUGGGUGGAAAGCUAUGAUCAUGCCCUAGCAUAGUGGUGGUGUUGGAAUGUGUGACCUUACUAUUAUGAACCAAGCGUGCCUAAUGAAAAUAGGUUGGGCCUUUAGAAUGGGUGAUGGAAGUCUUUGGGCUGAUGUCUUGAGGGGAUAAUAUGGUCAAAAUUAGUUCCUUAGAGACUCUGUAGUGGUUAAAUCUACUGAUCCCCCUGUGGAAAUCUAUUGUGAAGUUGUGACCAAACAUUAUUAAUGUUGAGAGGUGGAUUGUCAACAAUGGGAGAAGUAUCAGAGCUUGGUAGGAUAAAUGGGUUAAUGAUAUCACUAUCCUGAAAGCUUUUAUGUAGGAUAUGCCCCCUUAUAUCAUGGAGUUUUGGGUGGUAGAUCUUAUUAAUGACGAAGGAAGUUGGAAUUUUAAUCUACUAAACUUUCAUCUACAGAAGUAUAUUGUUAAUUACAUUGUUGUUAUUCUUUCUCCUAAAAGUAAUGCGUCGAAGGAUAGAAGGAUUUGGCCUAGGGAAAGAUUGGGUUCUUUUUUUGUGAGUAGUGCCUAUAGAAGAUUGUACAAUUUUGAGCCUUCUACCCAGCAGAAUGAAUGGUCUUGCAUAUGGAGACUCAAGCUUCUCGAGAGGUUGAGGAUCUUUAUGUGGAUUGUUAAACACAAUAGGCUUAGUACUAGAAAUAGACUAGCCAAAUGGGGGACCUUUUCUCCUUUUCUCGAAAUCUUUGUUUGCACCUUUAAAAACAUUUUGAGUCCUGACUCUAGAAGAUUGUGGACAUACAAGGUAGUUGUGUAUACAAGAGCAAACACAAACUUUUUAUGAGUCCAGCCAGACUUGAGAAGAUUGCUGAUAUUUUCUGCAUAACAGUCCCCAUGAAUACAGACACAGUAAAACACUAAUUCUCUUGUUGAAAACUCAUUUGACCUUAAAUUCUUGAUGAGUACAAACUAAUUGAACCCUUUUAUCUGAAUUCUCCAAUUCACUUUCCAUUUCCAUAAAGGAUAUGUGAUUUCUACCAACAUACAUCUGAAACUCUUGCAUCUCUAGGAACCAUGAGUAAAGGAUAUGUGAUUCUAUUACAGCCUAAUAAAGCAUGUAAAGUCUACUUGAUAAGAACACAAAAAAUAAGUGGUUAAUUUGGCAUUGAUGCAAGCAAUUUCGGCUUGGAUUUGUAGCACACUUGCUCCAAAAAAUAAGUGCUUGUAGCUGAAGUUCUUGAGAGGUGCUGAAAUUGGUUAGGCAAUAACAAAAGACACAUUCCCCUGCUUUCAUUUACUGGAAGUUCAAAGUCUUCACUUGCGGCUGCUAGAGCAGACAACUUUUACUAUCCUUUGGAAUAGGAACCGAGUCAGGGUUCGCUGAACAAGUUUCAUGGUCAACAUGCCUUGCAGGAGAGGGCGAGAAAAUUAGAUCAGGGUAUCCUGAUUAUAAGGUUGUUGAAGGAAACAAGUGAAAACAUGAUUCUUCUCAAAGACAUUGUGCCUGCAGCUCAGAACAAUAUAGACACCAAAUUUAUCAUUUUGGACAAAGGCAAAACCACAGUAGAAGGGCAAAACAAGAUAUGCCUGGCUCUUGUGGCAGAUGCGACUGCAGCUAUUCAUUUCCAGUUCUGGGGCGACGAGUGUGAUGCUUUUGAUUCAGGUGACAUAAUUUGUCUUACCAAUGGCAUAUUUUCGUACCAGCAUGGGAACCUUAUACUGAGGGCAGGGAAGAGAGGGAAACUAGUGAAGGUAGGAGGGUUCACUAUGGCCUUUGUUGAGACACCAAACAUGAGUGAGAUUCAUUGGAUUCCUGACCCAAACAAUUCUAAGAAUUAUAUCCAACAAUAUGUAAUAUCUCCUGUGUCACGCAUCUUUCCUCCUCCUUCUGAUAUAUAAAAGGGAUGUGCACUUUUAUCAGAUCUGCAAUAUUUUGUGAUAAAAUAACCUUUGUUUUAUCACUUUUUUACUUGUUUUUUCUUCUUUUUUGUCAUUGUUGUGAUGGAAGUUGAGGUUAAGUUCCUCUGUAGUAAAACUAUUUAGUAAAUUGCUUAUUGGUUCAUAUAAGUAAAUAAUUAAUGUUCUGAUGUCUUUUUGGACGCA